ACGAUGUCGAUUUAGAGGUUGUGGUCUUGACCGUGGCUUCUGGAGCUAACGCGUUAAAUCGACCGCCUGGGGAGUACGGCCGCAAGGUUAAAACUCAAAUGAAUUGACGGGGGCCCGCACAAGCGGUGGAGCAUGUGGUUUAAUUCGAUGCAACGCGAAGAACCUUACCUACUCUUGACAUCCAGCGAAUCCUUUAGAGAUAGAGGAGUGCCUUCGGGAACGCUGAGACAGGUGCUGCAUGGCUGUCGUCAGCUCGUGUUGUGAAAUGUUGGGUUAAGUCCCGCAACGAGCGCAACCCUUAUCCUUUGUUGCCAGCACGUAAUGGUGGGAACUCAAAGGAGACUGCCGGUGAUAAACCGGAGGAAGGUGGGGAUGACGUCAAGUCAUCAUGGCCCUUACGAGUAGGGCUACACACGUGCUACAAUGGCAGAUACAAAGAGAAGCGACCUCGCGAGAGCAAGCGGAACUCAUAAAGUCUGUCGUAGUCCGGAUUGGAGUCUGCAACUCGACUCCAUGAAGUCGGAAUCGCUAGUAAUCGUAAAUCAGAAUGCUACGGUGAAUACGUUCCCGGGCCUUGUACACACCGCCCGUCACACCAUGGGAGUGGGUUGCAAAAGAAGUAGGUAGCUUAACCUUCGGGAGGGCGCUUACCACUUUGUGAUUCAUGACUGGGGUGAAG
rnacentral:rRNA from 1 species